rnacentral:lncRNA from 1 species
UUAGCAACGGCGCGGUUGGCAGGGAGCGCGGAGUGUGAUGGGAAACAGCGCCCCCCUGCGGCCGCUGGGCAUCACGAGAAGCGGCGCUCUGCGGCCGCGGCGCGGGGUGUUAUGAGGGGCGGCGUAGGAACGGCCUCUCUCGGACUAUAAAAUCCCGUGUUUAGCGUGUUUCUGCAGCUUUAUUUCUAAUAAUACGCACUUCUUUUAGCUUUUAAAGUUUAUCAGCUUCUCUAUCUUGGCUCCUUCGCCUUGUCAGUAUUCUGCAAGUAUUGAGAAUGGUCCUGGUGUGUCUGGCUCGGAGCGUUCUGUGAAUAACUUCGUGAAGCUGAUUAUACACAGUGGACCAGAGUCCUGGAUGGAAAUGCAAGCCUUGCUGAAAUCUCUGAGCUCAUCUCAAGCACAGAUCGG